AAAGUAAACCGGGCAAUCGCCGGUGGAGCGCCGCAAGGCCCCACGGGAGGAAAGUCCGAGCUCUAUAGGGCAGGGUGCCGGCUAACGGCCGGUGGAGGCAACUCUAAGGCUAGUGCCACAGAAAUGAAGACCGCCGAUGGAGAGGGGUGCCCUCUCACAGGUAAGGAUGCAACGGUGCGGUAAGAGCGCACCAGCAGUAUGGAGACAUACUGGCUAGGUAAACCCCACCUGGAGCAAGACCUUAAAGAGAUCAACGCUUUUAAGCGAAGCUGUAGCCCGCAGUGAUCUCGGGUUGGUCGCUUGAGCGGUGUAGCAAUACAUCGCCUAGACAGAUGAUUGCCACUCUAUACCGUGGGAGGCAUUGCGACAAUUGCUGUUUUGACCACGAAGAGUACAGAACUCGGCUUAUGGUUUGCUUUCCAA
rnacentral:RNase_P_RNA from 1 species